GCCCGGCUAGCUCAGUUGGUAGAGCAUGAGACCCUUAAUCUCAGGGUCGUGGGUUCAAGCCCCACGUUGGGCA
rnacentral:tRNA from 1 species